rnacentral:rRNA from 1 species
UACGGGGGGGCAAGCGUUGUUCGGAAUUACUGGGCGUAAAGGGCUCGUAGGCGGCCAACUAAGUCAGACGUGAAAUCCCUAGGCUCAACCUAGGAACUGCGUCUGAUACUGGAUGGCUUGAAUCCGGGAGAGGGAUGCAGAAUUCCAGGUGUAGCGGUGAAAUGCGUAGAUAUCUGGAGGAAUACCGGUGGCGAAGGCGGCAUCCUGGACCGGUAUUGACGCUGAGGCGCGGAAAGCCAGGGGAGCAAACGGGG